rnacentral:rRNA from 1 species
AUUGAACGCUGGCGGUAGACCUAACACAUGCAAGUCGAACGCGAAAGUCCUUCGGGAUGAGUAGAGUGGCGGACGGGCGAGUAACGCGUAGGAAUCUAUCCUGUAGUGGGGGAUAACGUUUCGAAAGGAACGCUAAUACCGCAUACGCCCCAAGGGGGAAAGCGGGGGACCUUCGGACCUCGUGCUAUAGGAGGAGCCUGCGUCGGAUUAGCUAGUUGGUGAGGUAAAGGCUCACCAAGGCGACGAUCCGUAGCUGGUCUGAGAGGAUGAUCAGCCACAACGGAACUGAGACACGGUCCGGACUCCUACGGGAGGCAGCAGUGGGGAAUAUUGCGCAAUGGGCGAAAGCCUGACGCAGCCAUACCGCGUGUGUGAAGAAGGCCUUCGGGUUGUAAAGCACUUUCAGUGGGGAGGAAAGGCUGGUGGCUAAUAUCCAUCGGCCGUGACGCUACCCACAGAAGAAGCACCGGCUAAUUCCGUGCCAGCAGCCGCGGUAACAC